rnacentral:lncRNA from 1 species
CAAGAAUGGUCUCAUAUGAAAACUGGCUUUGGAUAUUUUACUGGAUUCUAAUAGAAACUGUUCCUGAUUGUGGAACACCAGGUGACUAUGCAACUAGAUCUACUCAUCAGGAUGUUAUCAGAUACAGGCACCUGAGAUACAAUGAUUCACCUCCUUGAUUUUUGAAAAUUGAAUCAACUUUUGAAAAGCAAUUUUGGUUUUAUAAAGUCAUAGUUUAUAAAGCUUCAGAAGUCAUUCCCAGGGGAUGCUUGAGGAUGAAUCAUCAAAGAACUGAUACCUGAAUCAGAGAGUGAUCAUUCAUGGGGCUUAGAAGUGUCAGACAAAUAGGCUCAUGAUUUGGCUUUACAUAAACGGGCCAGGAAGAGAUGGUUGAGGAAUCUAUAGUCAUGGUACUGGGAAGGUCAAGGGAGGAAUAUCUCCUCUCCAUGCAGGUUUUGCCUUUUGUCAACAACAGAGACCCAAGAUCUGAUGGACACAAUAACUCAGUGUUUCCUAGGAU